rnacentral:rRNA from 1 species
GACGAACGCUGGCGGCGUGCUUAACACAUGCAAGUCGAACGGAAAGGCCCUGCUCUUGUGGGGUGCUCGAGUGGCGAACGGGUGAGUAACACGUGAGUAACCUGCCCUUGACUUUGGGAUAACUUCAGGAAACUGGGGCUAAUAUCGGAUAGGAGCUCCUGCUGCAUGGUGGGGGUUGGAAAGUUUCGGCGGUUGGGGCUGGACUCGCGGCUUAUCAGCUUGUUGGUGGGGUAGUGGCUUACCAAGGCUUCGACGGGUAGCCGGCCUGAGAGGGUGGCCGGCCACAUUGGGACUGAGAUACGGCCCAGACUCCUACGGGAGGCAGCAGUGGAGAAUAUUGCACAAUGGGCGGAAGCCUGAUACAGCGACGCCGCGUGCGGGAUGACGGCCUUCGGGUUGUAAACCGCUUUCGCCUGUGACGAGGCGUGAGUGACGGUAAUGGGUAAAAAAGCACCGGCUAACUACGUG